rnacentral:rRNA from 1 species
CGCGUAGGCGGUGCGGUAAGUCACCUGUGAAAUCUCUGGGCUUAACUCAGAGCUUGCAGGCGAAACUGCCGUGCUGGAGUGUGGGAGAGGUGCGUGGAAUUCCCGGUGUAGCGGUGAAAUGUGUAGAUAUCGGGAGGAACACCUGUGGCGAAAGCGGCGCACUGGACCACAACUGACGCUGAGGCGCGAAAGCUAGGGGAGCAAACA